CCAGGACAAAUUGGAGCCGUCGAUCUCAUCCUUGAGUACAAUUACGAUUUUCCGAUCAUCAUCAUCAGUGUCGCCGUCGUAGCACGGGCCUUUCCGACAGCCUUUGCCGCAGUAGGCCGGUCCUUCCCCACAAGACCCAUCUUUGUUGCAGCACAAAUUUUCAUUUCCACCCUUUGCAGUUUUGGCUACCAUCGCCAUCAUCAUCAUAAUACUAAUAAUCAACACAGUUUUUCUCAUACUUACAGGUAUAUACUUACACUCUCUGCCCUUCUCUUUUUACUAUAUACAUGCAUAUGCGUACAUAUAGGAAACAGCUCACGUUGGGAAGUGGGUUCUUGAAAUCCUUUUUGGUCGCUGAAUAAUGUUGGGAAACACUAUGUAGUGUAUAUGUGAAUUGCAGAGAGACAGACGGCGGGGGGGGGGGGCUGAGAAAACUAUAUAAGAGUGUGUGUCUUGUGUAUCUACAUAUAUACGGGAAGGUAUAUUCAUGGUGUUGCUCCAACUGUAAUUAUUUGAAGGGAAAACUUCCAACCAGUUUGAAGGAGUAAAACGUUGAGUUUCAGAGUAAAUUAUUGAAGAACGCGGACUCUGCGAUACAACCUAUGACUUUUCAAUGACAGAGACUGGAGAAGUUGCUGGGAAAUUGAAGAUGAAGUUCGUCUUAAUUAAUUUAUUGGAUUUGGGUGUUGGGAUAAUAUUAUUUUUAUUUUAGAAAUAUUUUAAAAAAUAUUAAUCUAACUAAAUUUUAUAUUUUCAAUUGGGUUAAUCUGAACUAAUUUUUAAGAACUAUCAAAGCAUAUUUAUUAUGUAUAUACUCAAAUUAUAACUUGUGUAAUAUAUUCAAUGACCUAAAAUCAAUUUUGUUUUCUUCUUCAGAAAAAUGAACGAGGUAGGACCCAUAGAAAAUUAAUAUAUGGACGGUAAAGAAAUCAAUGUUGG
rnacentral:lncRNA from 1 species